rnacentral:rRNA from 1 species
AUUGAACGCUGGCGGCAUGCUUUACACAUGCAAGUCGAACGGCAGCGCGGGCUUCGGCCUGGCGGCGAGUGGCGAACGGGUGAGUAAUGCAUCGGAACGUGCCCAGUAGUGGGGGAUAGCCCGGCGAAAGCCGGAUUAAUACCGCAUACGACCUGAGGGUGAAAGCGGGGGACCGAAAGGCCUCGCGCUAUUGGAGCGGCCGAUGUCGGAUUAGCUAGUUGGUGGGGUAAAGGCUUACCAAGGCGACGAUCGGUAGCUGGUCUGAGAGGACGACCAGCCACACUGGGACUGAGACACGGCCCAGACUCCUACGGGAGGCAGCAGUGGGGAAUUUUGGACAAUGGGGGCAACCCUGAUCCAGCCAUGCCGCGUGCGGGAAGAAGGCCUUCGGGUUGUAAACCGCUUUUGUUCGGGAAGAAAUCCUCUGGGCUAAUACCCCGGGGGGAUGACGGUACCGGAAGAAUAAGCACCGGCUAACUACGUG